UUUUUUUUUUUUUUUUUUUUUUUUUUGAGACAGAGUCUCGCUCUGUCACCCAGGCUGGAGUGCAGUGGCGCGAUCUCGGCUCACUGCAAGCUCCGCCUCCCGGGUUCACGCCAUUCUCCUGCCUCAGCCUCUCCGAGUAGCUGGGACUACAGGCGCCCGCCACCACGCCCGGCUAAUUUUUUGUAUUUUUAGUAGAGACGGGGUUUCACUGUGGUCUCGAUCUCCUGACCUCGUGAUCCGCCCGCCUCGGCCUCCCAAAGUGCUGGGAUUACAAGCGUGAGCCACCGCGCCCGGCGGCGCUAAGUCUUAAGGCCCUCUCCACACUCAGUGUCUGUGAUCCUGUGAAAUUAUUAGAAUCGCUCAGCAUUUCUUGGCUUCCCCUGCCUCCAGAGACAUCCUUCCCAUGCUGCUCCCCACCCACACGCAUCCUGGAGCCCCGGUGCAGAGAGAAGGCUCCAAAAUAAAGAUCAGUCCAGGCUGCCGAGGGACACUGCUCCGUGCGACUUCCUCUUGGCAAUCUGAAUGUCCUGCCGUGUUGGACUCUAGGGUCUUGAGGCCCCCUACGUGGGUCUCCCAUGUUACAUGCCUGGAAGCCAAGGCCUAGUGAGAAGUGACUGCUCAAAGCCACAGCACAUGUCUGUGGCAGGGCUGCACUUGAACCCAGAUGCCACAUCUGUUUAUUUCCCAAGAAACAAGCGGUCCAAUGAAUCACACCUAGGAAAACACUGCUGGGGCACAAGCCUCUCAUCCUACAGAUGAUUAGAUGAGGUCUUGGGCUCUAGAGAAUGUUCUCUGAAGGCAGAGCAGCGACCCCUAAGAAAGGUGGAUUCCAGCUCAACAUUGUUGCUCAGCAACCUGGGGCAGGUUCUUUCCCCUCCUAGGGCAGUUGAGAGGCGGAGAGCAAAGGUAAAGCCCCCACCUUAGAAAGCUGGGUGCACAGAAGGGACUCGGCUGUUCCCACUUCCUCUCCCAGGCCUGGGCCAGCGCAGGGUGGCCUGGCUCUGGUCCUGCAGCCCAGCCCUAAGGCAGCUGAGCCACUUGUACCUGGGUCGGGGAGAUGAAAGGGCUGCUCCCACCGACAGUUACCCUUCGACAGAGCUCGCCAGGCCCCAGCGUUGCCAAGACGACCGCUUCCAGCAGAACGAAGAUCCGGGGUGGGGGCAGGGGAUGUGCCAGCCCGCCCCUGGCCUACUAACCUGGCAGGCAGAUUUAAAUGACAGUCCAGGAAGCUACUAUUAAACUGUCACCCCAGUCAACAGGACGACAGACCCAGAGUGUUCUCUGGCUGCAGCAACGACACAGCAGUAAUGAGGGGGAGGAGACCAUGGCCCAGAGCAACCUGCACCCCACCCGGGGGCCCUGGCCUGACGGCUGUCCCACUACCAGAGCCACCUUCUCAGGCUGUGGCAGGUCCUGGCAUGGAGCUGGGGCUCAGCACAGGGCCUGGCAAACUACUUUUAAGCAGAGGAACCCUUUUCCCAAGUGAACCUCCAACAUAUAAAACAGAUUAAAAUGGAGCUGCACGGUUGGAAGUGGGGGUGGGGGUGACAUCCAGAGCCCAUCGCCAGCAGAUCUGGGGUCCAGCAGCAAUGGAUUCAAACCCUAACCCCUCCCUGGACAUGUGAUGUUCCUAAAGCCCUCAGUUUAAAGAUCCCGUGGGUCCAUCACAACAUUGCAAACAGCUUCCACAUGGCUCUGCUUCUGACACUCUAGGGACCUACGGUUCUAAGGCCAUAACACUCUGAUUUGCACCCUAAGCCCCUGUGACAAGACUCCAUGACAGCUACUGCCAGAGUCCGAGAUGUCGAUAAGCUGCGGAUGGCAGCCUCUGAUGCCUUCCCUGAAAGGAACUGUUUAUCUGAGUCCAGAAGUCUACAUGCCGACAGUCUCUGACUACUCAAGGCUCGGCGGUUCCCAGAAGGCGAACGGUUCCCACAGUGUCCUGACAGUAGAGUGCAGGAGCCAGCACCCGCGUGUGGUGGGCGGGACUCGGUGCGUGGCUUUGUGCUGCCCAGUGGGCUCUGGGGCUCAAGCCACCAUCAUCCAUCAGCAGGCGACAUCUAAAUUUGCCCUCUCCCCCAUCUUCCCAUCCCACCUGGGGAGACUGAGAAGCUGCAGGUGCUGAGGAGGAGGGAGACACGUGAAGGGCUCGAGCCAAAGGAUUCGCCCCAUUUGGAAUUAAGAGGCUGCAGCGGAAGGAGCACUUUUUGAAACAAGUGGUCCACCUUCGCCCCAAAACACCAAGGCAUGAAAACGAGGUUGCAAGGAUCAGGAGGCCCGAGGAAAGACGAAAUGGGAGGCAGCGGCAGGGCCCCCAGCGGUGGAAGGAGUGUCACUCACCCCUUCCCAUUCUGGGCCUCAGUUUCCUCAGGCGAACACAACACAUCUCUAAGGGCCCCCUCCAGCUGACCUUCUGGAUUUGUGACCCCGUGACACGGAGGGGUUGUGGAUCUUGGUGCUGUUCCAAGCCCUCAAAGAGGUCAUCUGGGGCUUCCCACAGCCAAGCACCUCCUCCAGGCCCCACUACAUCCCAGCUGCUCUCAGAUACUGCCGGACCCUGGCCCCACUGUCACCAAGGGAGGCCCAAGCCCUUGCUGGGGUAUGUAGGCCUGUCACCACAGGGAAUAAGAGCGUCUCCGAGGGACAGACUGACAAAGGCGUCUUCCUGUCCCAGUGAUUUGUGGUUGCAGGAGCUCCACCAGGCCGGAAGCCCCUCUUCCACCUCCAUGGGCAAAACUCUCCCACCCCUGAUGGCCAGCUCAGGCAUUAGCUGUUCAUGGUGUCUGACGAUGCCCCCAUCCAAAUGCCCCCACCUCUGACAGAGCAGAAAUGAGUGGAUCCCAGCCCAGGGCCAGCCAGGGCCCACAACACCAAAGAGACAGAGUUUCGUCAUAACUGCCCAGGUGGCCUAGGGCCAUACUACAGCACGUGAUCCAGAGUCAGGGCCUGGGAACAACCUGUAUGAUUAUAGGACACCUCCUCUGUCCCAUGUUCUGGGAAAGCCAAGCUUCUGCUGACUCCUGUGCUACCUGGAAAGUCUCAGGUCUCUGCUGCUGGAAGCCAAAAUAAUCAAGCAGCAGGCCUACUGUGCAUGAGGGACCCUGCUAGAUGCUGGCAUGCCCUGCAGUUAGCUUGAAGAGGAAGCCACUUUUAAACAGCCUGCCCAGUGAGCACUGCCGGCUGCCUGAAGAUGAUUCCACUCACCUUGGUCUUUCCUGCAAGUGAAACUUCCUCCCAGAACUAAGGUUUGGAAGAUCCCAGUCUGCUGCCUGACAUGGCCAGUCUCCCACCAAAACAGGUGAAGGAACCCAGGACUCAUAU